rnacentral:rRNA from 1 species
AGUGAACGCUGGCGGUAGGCCUAACACAUGCAAGUCGAACGGCAGCACAGUAAGGGCUUGCUCUUACGGGUGGCGAGUGGCGGACGGGUGAGGAAUACAUCGGAAUCUACUUUUUCGUGGGGGAUAACGUAGGGAAACUUACGCUAAUACCGCAUACGACCUACGGGUGAAAGCAGGGGAUCUUCGGACCUUUCGCGAUUGAAUGAGCCGAUGUCGGAUUAGCUAGUUGGCGGGGUAAAGGCCCACCAAGGCGACGAUCCGUAGCUGGUCUGAGAGGAUGAUCAGCCACACUGGAACUGAGACACGGUCCAGACUCCUACGGGAGGCAGCAGUGGGGAAUAUUGGACAAUGGGCGAAAGCCUGAUCCAGCAAUACCGCGUGGGUGAAGAAGGCCUUCGGGUUGUAAAGCCCUUUUGUUGGGAAAGAAAAGCAGCAGGUUAAUACCCCGCUGUUCUGACGGUACCCAAAGAAUAAGCACCGGCUAACUUCGUG